rnacentral:rRNA from 1 species
GACGAACGCUGGCGGCGUGCUUAACACAUGCAAGUCGAACGAAGUGGCGAACGGGUGAGUAAUACGUGGGUAACCUGCCCUCCUUUUUGGGAUAAACCUUGGAAACGGGGUCUAAUACCGAAUAAAGGGGGAUGGGCUCGGUGCCUGUCAGCUUGUUGGUGGGGUGAUGGCCUACCAAGGCGGUGACGGGUAGACGGCCUGAGAGGGUGACCGGACACAGUGGGACUGAGAUACGGCCCAGACUCCUACGGGAGGCAGCAGUGGGGGAUAGUGCACAAUGGGCGAAAGCCUGAUGCAGCGACGGCGCAUGGGGGAUGAAGGCUUUCGGGUUGUAAACCGCGUUCGAUAGCGAACGGGUAGGUGGAUAAGAAGCGACGGCUAACUACGUGCCAGCAGCCGCGGUAAUUC